UGAAAAUUGGUAGGUGGUCAUCCAAUCUCUGCUGGGAAUUCAGAGACCCAAGGAUUGGGCUCUAGAACUAGCUGUGUCACUAGUCCAGACAACUCAACCACUGCAAGCUCCAGUUUCUUCUCUUGUGAGACAUUGGCUCUCUAUCUGACCUGCCCAGUUGUAAACUCCCUUCUUCACUCCUCUUCCAGCAAACAGGCAGCCCCAACUUACUAUGGAUCCUGCUCCAGAAGAUUGCUGAAGCCUGGUAUUCAGAACUCAGAAAAGAUUUCCUGUUGAAAGAGUAUAAACGAUAGUUGGGAUCUCAGGGUGAAGCUUCAAGUUAGAAACAGUGUUGAUCUCAUAUUAGGAAGGCUUAAAUUCAGAACAAUUGAAGCAGCAUAGUGGUGAUAUCUCUACCUUUCUAUCAGCUCCGAUAUGCCAUAGCUUCCAUAUACCCCGCUAAGGCAUCAAGGCUGCCUGGUCACCUGCCAAAUAUGCUCUUCCCACUGCUGCCAGUGACGCUGCAUACAAAGUACACGUGUUGGUAUACUUACGGAUGAUUCACCGUGUUGGAUGGCAGAAACCAAC
ensembl:lncRNA